GACGAACGCUGGCGGCGUGCUUAACACAUGCAAGUCGAACGGAAAGGCCCCUUUGGGGGUACUCGAGUGGCGAACGUGUGAGUAACACGUGAGUAACCUGCCCUUGACUUCGGGAUAACUUCAGGAAACUGGUGCUAAUACCGGAUAGGAAUCCUUGCUGCAUGGUGGGGGUUGGAAAGCUUCGGCGGUUUUGGAUGGAUUCGCGGCUUAUCAGCUUGUUGGUGGGGUUGUGGCUUACCAAGGCUUUGACGGGUAGCCGGCCUGAGAGGGCGACCGGCCACAGUGGGAAUGAGAAACGGCCCAGACACCUACGGGAGGCAGAAGUGGGGAAUAAUGCACAAUGGGCGGAGGCCUGAUGCAGAAAGGCCGCGUGGGGGAGGAAGGCCUUCGGGUUGUAAACCGCUUUCAGCAGGGGCGAAGCGUGGGGUGACGGUACCUGCAGAAGAAGCACCGGCUAACUACGUG
rnacentral:rRNA from 1 species